GGUAUAUGAAAGAGUGCACCCUCCUAGAAGACAGGAACCAGCAGUUCCUGUUGAACAGGACGUACUGCUCAUGACCCCGAGAGGAACGGAUGUGACUCAAGUUUAAGGGGCAAAAAGGCGAAUAAAUAAGAGAGCCCUGGACAACUCAGAUCACAAACACCUUCCUGCUCAGAGACAAAGAAUCAUCCUGCUCUUCACACCACGCAAAUCCACAACCAGGUUAACUUUAGGCAUAGUGAAACUUAAAGAUAUCCUCUACCAUGACUUCCAACGAAACUGACCAUGACACCUCGGCUGAGGCAUGCAGUCCCUUCUCUGACCAGCAGGGCCAGGAGGAAUACGCCGAGCCCUGGGAUGGGGGCCCCAUUGAAGACACCCAGUCCGGGGAUGGAGAUUGGGAAGAGGAAGAAGAUAAUAGGCCAAUAGGGCACAGAGUAAUAACCAGAAUGCAAGAAUUAGAAAGUAAGGGUAUGCCAGAGUUCCCAGACACUAGGAAUUAUCCUGUAGGGUGGAUAGCACCGGUAAUAAUAAUUCCUCACCCUGAUACUCUUAAAACAUGUGGCUCAUGUGAUAGAAAUACUGAAGGGGUACUCAGCGGGAGAUUAAUGUUAAGAGGACGGAUGUUAGACAGCGUAUGUAUUUUGUGUCUAGCCCAGAGAGAUAAGUGGCCUAAACUUAAACUGAUAGUGAACAGGGGAAAAAUUUGGGCUCAUGUAGAAGAGCCUGAGGAGUUGAACCUUAUGAUGGUGUACAAAGGACAGGAGGUAGAUUGGGAUAGACGUACUGGCACUGUUGAAUUACAUGGAAUGGCUUACAAGACCUAUUCAACAGGUUGGAGGAGAAGAACAACUGAGACUGGUUCCAAGAUGCUCAGGCUGUAAUCAAGGGACUAGAGGGGAGUAUACAUGUCCAACCCAUUUGGGAGGAUAUGUAACAACGAGACAAUUGUGUAAAAAGUGCUUUUGUUUUCAAGUAUGCUAUAGGGAGAAGAAACAGUGGUACAGGGAAAAUGAGUCAGAACCCUGGCCCAUGGAAGGACGUUUCUCAGACUUAUUUACAUGGGGCAGAAUAAUUAGCAGGUGCAAACAUAAUGAUGAGUAUUAUUUAAGGUUAAGAAUAGCAAAGAAAGGAACCAAAGGACAGCCCGAGGUUUGGGGAGUGGUGUGUAGGUCAGAUGGUAAAUGUCUGGCCAUAGCAAAGGAACUAGGUGACACUGGGCUAGGGGGAGUAAGGAGAAAAAGGAAAGGGAAAUGGUUAGAUCCUGGAGAGGGUGUAGUGGAACACAAAAAGGAUCUCCCCUCUGACCCGCCUUUCAUCCCGACUCAACAAAUACCCAUGAAAGAACUGACAGUACCGGAUGAGCUACCCGCCUGGACUAUGUCACCCCCUGAAGAACCAAGCUUCCAAACAGCAGAACCUGACUGGUAUCAACUGGCUCCGCCCACAGUAGAAGGAGAAUCUGCUGGCUGGGAAAAUCUAUUAGAAUCAUUAUUGCUUGAAUAGGCUGGACUCUAUAAGAGGAAGGUAGCGCUUUAAGCUAUGGAGGAAGUACAUCCUUAUAUGGGUAUGAACAGAUGUAUGUACUAGCCAACCACACAGGAAAUAAUAUUGGGAGGAAGUAGUAGGUAAUAACAGGAUUAAUUAUUCUGUGGAGGACACUUAGGGGAUUUUGAACGGUGAAAAAAGGUAUAUAUAGAGAAACUGCCGAUACUUGAGGCUUUGUCCACUAUAUGACAGUCUUUGUGAUUGCCUGACCAAGGUCUAAUCACCGACAUUACUGGAAAUAGUUUGGCAUCCCGAGACAGGACUUAAACACUGAACCCAGGGGGUUUUCGUUGGAGGAUAGUGAAACAUCAGUAGACGAUCAGUUGACCAAGAACGACUCUAGUUUCCUCAUUCAAUAUAACUUGAAUCCAAUUUAGUUAAAAUAACGAGUCCAAUUCAACCUCUCGGCAGUUAGAGGGGAGUCGCUACACUAAACUAAAUUUCUCAAAUUCUGACCGAUUGAAACUCUGCUCCUGAUCUCGUGGGUCUCCUCGUCAUCUCUCAAAGGUAAUUAAAUAACUAUUAUAAGCAUUUAAUAUAGAGAUAAGUGUUAUCAUUGUACCAGGCAUUUUAUAGAGCAUUAAGGCAUUUGCAUGUUUUUGAUUAACGCUGUGUGUGACCGAGUAACAAAUUGUGUAUUUUGAAGUGUGUUUGAUUGUAAAAAGACAAAAAACAGAGUGUUUAAAAAAAUAAACGGUAGUCUUAUUUUUUCUCGAGUAAAAGGUUCUCUCAAAGACAGUUAACGGCACGGGAGAUAACAACUAUGACACUCCCCGCUACCGGGACACUGGAAACGGGGAUCAAUGCUCUAUGACAGAAUGAGUUACCAUUAAAAGACAAGGAGGAAGGUGUGUCCAGUAGUGAUUCAUUUAAUUGUCUUAUCGAUCUAUCUAAGUUUUAUUUUCCAAGCGAUACAUAGCCGAUGGGCAGAGUAGUGAGACUAAGUUGACUAAAGGUCUUCACACUUUAAACUAGAUACAUCACAGAGGGGAAAUACUCAACCACAGGGAAGUCAUAUAGAGACUGGUAGGACUAGUGCUUAAUAACAACUCAAGGACCAAUUAGUGGUGAAGCAAAGAGUCUAGAGGAUAAAGGUGGGGUUCACACAUCCCAGCUAGAGCUAGACCGUUGAGAGUGACAAGGCAAAAGACCUCUCUACGCGGACAACGCUUCGAUAUAGAAAGAGAGGCAGGGCUACUCGAGCGGUCCUGGUUAUACCGAGAUAACCUGAAGUAUCUAUAGUGCCCUGUCCAAUCCAGGGAACGGGACGCUAACCACCUCUAGCACCCCGCUGCCGGCCAAGGGGCGGGGCUGAAGGUUUCGAUUGGCGCCAACACGUAAAAAGCUCUCUCUCACCCUCCAUUUGGUAAAUCCGACCAAAAGUCCAUCCUCCUGAUUCCUGCUUACAAGCAAAAAUUAAAGCAGGAAGCACCAGCAACUCAGUCUAUAAAAAAGUGGUCAGAUGAAGCAGAUGCUAAACUACAGGACUGUUUCGCUAUCACAGACUGGAACAUGUUCCGGGGUUCUUCCGAUGGCAUUGAGAAGUACACCACGUCAGUCACUGGCUUUAUCAAUAAGUGCAUUGAGGACGUCAUCCCCACAGUGACUGUACAUACAUACCCAUUAGUUAUUAGUUACAGGAGAUAAAUA